UGUGCGAAGGACAGAGGCAGCCUCAGACUUCUCUCCGUGCUUUCUGGUUCACUCUACAGAAUCCCUGCCCUUCACUGUGCCCCCACCUUGGAAACAAGGGAACAGAGACAAGGGUGGUGGUAGGGAGGGUGUUGUCAGAAAUCAUAUGGGACAGAGUACUGAGGUAUUCCCUUCAGACCAAUCCAUAAGAACUAAAAAAUCCUUCCCAAGGCCCACGUGCUGCUCUGGGAACUGCAAUGAACACAAGGCAAUGAGGAAGGGCAAUGAGGAAGCCUGCACCCUGAUGGGCACAGGCUAAGCCCUGGGAGGGUCAGCUCAAUUCCCUGGCACUGCAGCAGACAGACUCCUAUGGGAACCUCGGAAUGUUGUAAUGCCUUUGGGUCUCUGGGUAGGCUGUGUCCAGCUGUGCUAUACUCCUCCAGACACAGAAGCCACAUUUUGGAUGCCCAAAUGCAGCCAUUGAGGCUUGUGGUGAGGUACAAAGCAGAUCUUGUUAGCCAUGAUGUUGUGGUGACUUGACAUAGGUUCAGGACCUGUGAAAUGUUUUCAGUCUCAGAUUACUUCCCUAUAACUAAGCCGUUAAUUGCUGUGCCCUGUCAACAUAACCUUCCAGCUGGGCAGGCUGUGAAUGUCAGCAGCAGUCACUCAGAAGCUGCUGCAGGAACAUCAGCCAUCCCCUGCAGGGUGCUCUGUGCUCAGCCCAGUCCUAUAACUGACCAGAGCCCGGGGUGCUGGGCAGCACAGCGAGAUGCCACUGGAGGCUCUGCACCCAGAGCACCGCUCAGCUGCACAGACUCACUGACCUGGGCCACGCUGUCCCACCGCAGAGGGAGGUUCUGUUAAAACCACCACGCUGGCCCAGCAGAUGUCUCUCCUGGACUUCAUCGUCUGUCCCACAAAACAAGCAAAUUGUGUCACUGGUUAGGUAUGGGGCUGGACUUCACUCCUGUACUUUUCCGUGUCUGUUUCCAGAGCUGGGGAGCCCAAAAGAACCCACAAUCUAGUCCCAGGUCUGCUGGCUGCCUUCAGGAGCUGGGACAGGAGAUCCCACUGCCACUGCACAGGUGGAAGCAGCCACGGUGGGAAAGAAGAAACAUUAGGAGCAUCAGAAAGAGGGGAGAUGAAAGAAGUAGCGUUAUACUGCGGGCUGCAUCCAAGAUUCCAGAGCGAAUGGAACAUGAAGACAGACAACAAAGGAGGAAAUAAAC